CGCAGUGCUCGGUGAGGUUUCACCCUGUGACGGCUGCUUUGCCCCCCUGCCCCAUCCCAAACACACACACGACCCGGAAACCGCCGCAGAGCCCAGAUCACAGCUUCGCGCUCCCCAGCACCGGCCCCGGCUCCCCAACACCGCCACGACCGGCUCCAGAAACGUGACCUGGAAGUGAGUCUGCCACGGAGCUGGGUGCCAGCAUGCUUCCCCUUACCCUGUGACACCUGAAGAGUCAUCACCAGCAUCCGUCCGUCUGUCAGGGAAGGGUCAGCUCCUGCUGCUGCCCUUGACGUGGCAGGUGUCUGCGUAGCUGACGGCCUACCCCUUCUGCUUUUUCCUUUUCUGCUUUUUCCUUCAGGGAUAGGAUUCAACUCUGGGAAUUUAGAGGACUAUGCCUGAUCUCACCUGUCUGUGCUUUUGCCUUGCCCCAGAUUAGAGCCCUGCAGGACACUUCCACAGUUCUCAGCUCGCCUGUCGCAUCACCAGUCCCAAUGGAUGGGCCUGGACCACACGAAACCCAGACCUUGUGUCAGUGCACAGAAUUGAACGCUGGGUACAGGGGAAGAUGAGAAACCUCGAAUGAGGGUUUGCAGCAUUAGGCUGCCUAGGCUUCAGGAUUUACAGUUUAUUAUCUAUGGAUUUUUCAUUAAUCAGUAAGCCCUAAACCCUGAACCUUAAGUGACAAACUGCACAUGUUGGCACCCAAAUGGUGGCUGAGGCUGUAAAAUCUAGGGAUGAGAUUGCAUUUUAAAUCCUGCACCCUGAUCGCUAGAUGAGCAACCUGUGAGCUGUGACUGCUAAAGGCUGAACCCCACAAAAUAAAGUAAGAAACCAUAACCCCUGCAUAAGAGACCCUCAACAACAAAAUAAAUAAACCUCAAGUGAAAAAGUCCAAACCCUUAGCUUUAAGCAAGGAAAGAUGUUUCCCCUUCAUUUAGAAGGGCAGCAGAACAGGAAGGUGUGCACCAGAAUCCUGUUACUGUUGCUGUUUAUAGGCUAGCUUUUAGCUACCGUUCAAAUGUGGGCAUGUGCAAGAAUCAUGUCACUGGACUGCACUAAGCUGUGCUAACACCAAACAUACCUAAACACCACAAGCAAUAAUUCCUCUCUGUUACAGACCAUUAAUAUUUUUGCUUAUCUCAGCUCCAUGGGCAACCAUCCACAGCCAGUGACAACUGUAACCACCAAGGGCCAAACCACCUGCAACCUCCCAGCCCUGCUCACAUACAGCGCAGCCCCAGGACUUAGCUGUGUCCACACUGCAAGUCAGAUCUCCCCUUCUAUGGCCAGCUGCAGAUCUCUGCAGAGCUCCUAGGUGUGACAAUGCUUCUUUGCCAGACUAUGCUUCAGCACCUGCUGAGAGCCCAGAACAGUUACUGAAUGGUGAGGCAACAGCAAAACCCUCCUAGAUUUACUCCCUAGUCCAAGGCCUGUAAUUGUUUUCACAAUGAUGAGUGAUGCUCUGUGCUGCUUCAGUCAGCCUCUCUGGCUUCAUUUCAUUGCAAGAAUGUCACAGCUGCCCUCAUGUACAGUCCUCCCAGACCCCUUCUGUACUUACAGACUUCCUUAAAACAGUAUGACUGAAAUCAACAAAAUGGGCUGAGCUGCUCCUCUUGAAGUUGCUGGCCUUCACAAUGUUUAUCCUGCAAACGAAUCGAACUACCAAGGUCCCUGGGAGAUUCUCACUUCAGACCUUUGUGCAGAGUAUUCUUUCUAUUUGCGUGCCCUGCAUGAGCCUCUCCUUCAACUGUUUUCCCAAGGUAUGCUUUGGUAAAUACUGUAGUUCCCUAAAUUUUUCACUGGGUCCUUGCUGGUAUUGGAUACCCUUAUAGCAGGGAGGGGCAACCUACAUUCGUGCAAGGAACACUGCAGCACAAAGAAGCUACCCCUUUGGCCCACCUAAUCUACUUUAGAGUUCUGUUUUUUGGGUCUUUGAGUACAGCAUGCAUUUGUUACCCUGUUCUUUUAACAAGAUUAUCUGCGUUCUUCAGUUGUUUCCUCUGAGGGGGGAGUUGCUACAGAAAUUGCUGGGGAGGCCCUGACUGUGGGACGUGAAAAAAACACUACUGACUACCUCUAGCCCAAAAAAGUGUAAGCUGAAGGAUCAGAGUAAAUAACUGCUUGUGUAAUUUGUUCCCUAGCAAUGCAUUGUCAGAGUUUCUUAAAAACAAUCAUACUUGAUCAAAUGCAUAUCCAGUCUGUCAAUAUUAGUGCAAAAAUGUGUAUGUUACUCAUCGUUCAAAACAAAUCUAUGGCACUGGGGUAGCAUGCGUAGGGAGGACUAAUCCAAUGAUAACUCGUUCAGAUGUUCUCUUAUAUGAAAGCAUUUAGAAGAGAUUAAAACAUUAAGCAUAUCAUUCUGUUUAUUGAAUGGACCAUGAUACUAAGAAAAAACUGCAAUGAAGGAGACGUAAUAGUCAGUUUCCUUAAGGGGGUUUUGUCAUGUACUUUAAGGCUUAUUCUACAUUUUGAUAGUAGUAGUGAAUGACACAGGUUGCUUUUCAACCUCUUGGGGAGCAGAAAGUUCUGACUUGAAGGCAAAAUGUUUCUUGCAGCCAGGUUUGAACAAACUGGCUACCAGUCAAAAGCAAUGACAAUUCUGUGGAGUCACUGGAAGUUUUUAAAGCAGUAGUUACCUAUAAUAGAAGGCUAUGCACUUUGACUACUAAAUACCUAUAGUAAUCAAGCUAGGUAAGUGAUACAGAGGUGAGCCAGCCAUUAGUCUCUUUCACACAGUAAUAGCCUUUAGGCCAUUACUACUGUUAUAAAAGUUGAGAUAUUUAGAAACUGAACAAGCUUUUUUUAGCUUGUUUCCUUUAGUAGCAAAACCUGAGCAGUUUGUCAAGAAAAUACUGCUGCCUUCUUCCAGCUGUUUAGUUUGUUUAACAAUCAAUAAAGGUAAGAGGUUGAAAAUCCUAAAAAUGACCAUUCCUUGUUUAACAGUUGCAAGCAGUUCCAUUAAAGAGUGUUCUGUUCUUUUUUUAA